GGGGAAAGCAGACUCACCAGACAAGUUUUGAAUGCUCAUGAGAAAGAACAGAUUUUCCUUCAAGAAGGUUUUGGAAGAAAAUCCUUGAAAUCAAUCUGUAUCAAGUUGAUACAUGCAAAGAGCUGGAAAUAGAAGAGGCACUGAUCUCCCUGCUCCUGCUUGCUGUGCUCCAGUAAACGACAGCUGAAGGUGAUUUUGGCUGCCCACAUCUGUGCUACCUGUCUUGCUGCACUUGUAGAGAUCAGCCAGAAAAUAAAUGUUCUGGCCUGUAAGACACACACUGGUACAAAAAAGUAGUCUGUCAUCUGAGAACAAGAAGCCAGA